GAUUGAACGCUGGCGGCAUGCUUUCCCCAUGCAAGUCGAACGGUAACAGGCCGCAAGGUGCUGACGAGUGGCGAACGGGUGAGUAAUGCAUCGGAACGUGCCCAGUCGUGGGGGAUAACUACUCGAAAGAGUAGCUAGUACCGCAUACGAUCUAUGGAUGAAAGCGGGGGACCGUAAGGCCUCGCGCGAUUGGAGCGGCCGAUGUCAGAUUAGGUAGUUGGUGGGGUAAAGGCUCACCAAGCCAACGAUCUGUAGCUGGUCUGAGAGGACGACCAGCCACACUGGGACUGAGACACGGCCCAGACUCCUACGGGAGGCAGCAGUGGGGAAUUUUGGACAAUGGGCGCAAGCCUGAUCCAGCAAUGCCGCGUGCAGGAAGAAGGCCUUCGGGUUGUAAACUGCUUUUGUACGGAACGAAACGGCUCUGGUUAAUACCCGGGGCUAAUGACGGUACCGUAAGAAUAAGCACCGGCUAACUACGUG
rnacentral:rRNA from 1 species